UAAAACAAGCACUGUCACUGUUUUUUCUGACAGUUUAGAGGCAGAUGGAUGAAUGAAUCCAUCACAAAAACAACUCAUAAUGGAUGGAGGUUAACUACAGCUUUAAUUUACACUUUGGCAUCACUGAAUAUAGACGUGUGUAUUCAGUACGAUGGUGUUAAUGAAAAUAAGACCAAAGAACAUGAGCUCAGAGGAAGUAAAAACAAUAAGGUUUUUACAACCCUCUGGUAUCCUUGAACGCAUCACAGCGUGCGUCCGCCAAUUACAGGUGCGUGACGUCAGACGCCAGAACGCUUUAUUAGUCACGUGGGGACGACGUUGAAUUUAAAAUCCCGCGGUCGAAAGAGAAAAACCGAGUCCAGACGCCGGUUCACGUAAAAACAGCUUUCACCGGGUCUGUCACCGAGUUAAAGCUUCAGCUGACCUCAACUCACCCACAAGAGGAAAACCACCGGAUCCGGUUCCUUUCUGACUCCGGUCAGGUGAGUUCGCUUCAUUAACUCGUGUCUGUGACAUGUUAAACUCUCUGAGUGUCGGCUUUUAUUCCGUUUCCAACAUUUUGCACGGUGUAAAUGCAGAGGGACAGACCGUCUGUUCUCAUUAGCUCUGACUCUGGAUUCAGGAGGAGGAUGUGAUGUUAGUUAAAACACCUGAGCACGUGCAACAGCAGCUGCUGUGUGCAGCUUCAUGGUGAGGUCAGUGUACCAGUGUUAAGACUUACCUGUUAACAUGGCCGCCGACCGCCAAGCGGACGCCAAGCGGUGCGAGCCUAAAGCACGCGGUCUGAUUUACUGAAUCUCCAGUUUGUUUGCAGCAGAUCGACAGAGAAGUUUUAAGACUCAGUUUGACUCAUAUGAAUGAAAUGCCCACCUGUUCGUUAGUUCCUGUUAAGAUACUGUUCAUGCACCAAAGUAAAAAUUAGGAAAUGAGCAACCUGUAACAUUACAGGUUUAAGAGUUGACCCAGACUUUCUUUUCUUAUUUAACAGAACUUCUGGAAAAGGCGAGACACUAAAACGAACUCGUCCAACUUUUUAAACUCCCUAGAAAGGUAAGUGACACCUGUGAAGUAGCUCAGUUAGUUAAUGUCAUUGCUGUCAGGAUCCUGUUUGGUUCCUUAACUUCAGAGUCACAUGUUUAAUUUCACUGCACACUGGGAAAACAGAUCUACAGUGUCUCCACAUAAUAUCUUCAUACACAUCCUUUUUUUUUUUUCUUUUUCAUUAACAGAACUGGGAAAGAUGAGACUGGGAAAAACUCGUCCAACUUCAUGUGGAACUUCAAAACUCACUCAUAAAGGUCAGGGUCCUGUACUUAGCAAAGUAGCUGUUCAGUCAGAUGUUUGAUUUUACUGCACCCUGCGAACACAGAUCUAUAAUGUGUCAGUGAGACUAACUUGUCUUUUUUUUUUUCUUUUUUCUCUUUUUUUUUUUUUUUCAGGUAAUCUACGAACCAGUAAGUCUCAUUUUUAUUUUUACCCUGUCCCCUCGUGGCCGCUGAGCCUCUUGUUUUUCCUGUCAUGGCUGCCGCGUCAUGACAAUCUAUUUGGCUUCAAAUGUUUUUUGGCUUUUUACCGUGUGUUGUUUCUACCAAUGCUGUACCUAUCUACUACUACUAUCAGUAUUGUGGCAGCAUGUUGGUCCAACAUGGCUGCCAGUUAGUUUGCGCAUCCAAUUUAAACAUGGCUGCCCAUUCAUUCACCCGAUCGGCAUGACAGUCUGAGCAUUUAGUACUUGAUGGCAGAUGAGUCAAGCCUUAGUUUUUAGCCUCCACUGGCUUGUGUGUGUGGUUUUUAUACAGUGAUAUGAUGGUGAUGGUAAUGGAAUUUGUAUUAUUCUUUAAUUCAGUGUUUUUGGAUGGCUGCUGUGGCUGCCUGCUUAGGUCUCUCUAGAGUAAGGCUGAACCAAGUACAGUAUCCAAAUUGCAGUUUGAAUUUUUUCCAUCAGUGUUAAGUCUGUAAGUUAUGAUGCUUAUCAUUCUUAAUUUAAAAAUUGCUGUUUGAAAAGUUACUAUACAAUAACUUUGAAUUACUGUUUAAAUUUGUGUUUAGCCACUUGCUACCUUUUUAACGGACAACAUUGCAUGCUAACAUCACACAACUGAAACCCCUAUUGCAGUGGCCUGCCAUCAGCCCAUCCACUCCUGUCCAACAUCACCAUGUAUUCAUUCAUCCCAGGUGCCCCCCCCACACCCCUCCAAGUCCCCACAUACCUUCAUCCAUCCCAACCCAACAAUUUUAGAUGUACCCACACUGAGGUUUGCGUCUUUGUUUGUUAUUUUUUUUAUUAUUUUUAGGCCACUGUGCCAUCUCCCAUCUAUCCCUCACUCUUUUGUCAUGGCCAUUGGGCCAAUCUAACGAUCUAUCCAUUUCCUCGUUCAUCCAUCCAACAUCCCCCCCCC